rnacentral:rRNA from 1 species
AUUGAUUUGUUAUCUUCAAAUUGUUUGCCUCAUUAACGGCGAGUGAAGCGGCAACAGCUCAAAUUUGAAAGCUGGCUCUUUCAGGGUCCGCGUUGUAAUUUGCAGAGGAUGCUUCGGGUGCGGUGCCGGUCUAAGUUCUUUGGAACAAGACGUCAUAGAGGGUGAGAAUCCCGUAUGUGACUGGUGGCCUGCGCCCGUGUGAAGCUCCUUCGACGAGUCGAGUUGUUUGGGAAUGCAGCUCUAAAUGGGUGGUGUACUUCAUCUAAAGCUAAAUAUUGGGUCUAGACCGAUAGCGCACAAGUAGAGUGAUCGAAAGAUGAAAAGCACUUUGGAAAGAGAGUUAAACAGUACGUGAAAUUGUUGAAAGGGAAGCGCUUGCAAUCAGACUUGCGCUGCGUCGAUCAGCCUGGGUUUUCCCUGGUGCACUCGGCGCAGCGCAGGCCAGCAUCAGUUCUGGCGGUUGGAUAAAGGCCUGGAGAACGUGGGUCGCCUUGGCGAUUGUUAUAGCUCUGGGUGCAAUGCAGCCUGCCGGGACUGAGGACCGCGCUUCGGCUAGGAUGCUGGCGUAAUGGUUGUAAGCGACCCGUCUUGAAACACGGACCAAGGAGUCUAACAUUUAUGCGAGUGUUUGGGUGUCAAACCCAUACGCGCAAUGAAAGUGAACGGAGGUGAGAACCCUUAAGGGCGCAUCAUCGACCGAUCCUGAUGUCUUCGGAUGGAUUUGAGUAAGAGCAUAACUGUUGGGACCCGAAAGAUGGUGAACUAUGCGUGGAUAGGGUGAAGCCAGAGGAAACUCUGGUGGAGGCUCGCAGCGGUUCUGACGUGCAAAUCGAUCGUCAAAUCUACGUAUAGGGGCGAAAGACUAAUCGAACCAUUGAAGCCGAACUAGGUGGUUGGGAGGCCUGUAAGGCCUAGUCCUCAUAGGGGGCGAUACUGCAAAAUUGCGGGGACAGCUCGAUAGACGCAGGCUACCACAGCGGGCUUGAAAAAGCCCGCCACGGUCACAAUGCCUGCGCCUGAGCCGAUCCGCAGCGGUUUCCUACGGCGCAUCAGCGCUAUGGAACGCGUACAUCGACUAGAUGGCAGUGGGUGUAUUUCAGGGCGCCUAAGGUAUAGUCAGGCUGCGGCAGCGAUGCUGCAGCUACCGCGGCCAGGGC